UGCCGGAAGGUGAAUUAUUCUUCGGCCUGAGGAUGACCUCGCGUCCGAUUAGCUAGUUCGUGGGGUUAGAACCCUAUAGGCGACUAUCGGUAGCUGGUCUGAGAGGAUGAUCAGCCACACUGGGACUGAGACACGGCCCAGACUCCUACGGGAGGCAGCAGUGGGGAAUUUUCCGCAAUGGGCGAAAGCCUGACGGAGCAAGACCGCGUGAGGGAAGAAGGUCUGUGGAUUCAAAACCUCUUUUGAUUGGGAAGAAUACUGACGGUACCAAUCGAAUCAGCCUCGGCUAACUCCGUGGCCAGCAGCCGCGGUAAUA
rnacentral:rRNA from 1 species